rnacentral:rRNA from 1 species
CCGGUAAACGGCGGCCGUAACUAUAACGGUCCUAAGGUAGCGAAAUUCCUUGUCGGGUAAGUUCCGACCUGCACGAAUGGCGUAAUGAUGGCCAGGCUGUCUCCACCCGAGACUCAGUGAAAUUGAACUCGCUGUGAAGAUGCAGUGUACCCGCGGCAAGACGGAAAGACCCCGUGAACCUUUACUAUAGCUUGACACUGAACAUUGAGCCUUGAUGUGUAGGAUAGGUGGGAGGCUUUGAAGUGUGGACGCCAGUCUGCAUGGAGCCGACCUUGAAAUACCACCCUUUAAUGUUUGAUGUUCUAACGUUGACCCGUAAUCCGGGUUGCGGACAGUGUCUGGUGGGUAGUUUGACUGGGGCGGUCUCCUCCUAAAGAGUAACGGAGGAGCACGAAGGUUGGCUAAUCCUGGUCGGACAUCAGGAGGUUAGUGCAAUGGCAUAAGCCAGCUUGACUGCGAGCGUGACGGCGCGAGCAGGUGCGAAAGCAGGUCAUAGUGAUCCGGUGGUUCUGAAUGGAAGGGCCAUCGCUCAACGGAUAAAAGGUACUCCGGGGAUAACAGGCUGAUACCGCCCAAGAGUUCAUAUCGACGGCGGUGUUUGGCACCUCGAUGUCGGCUCAUCACAUCCUGGGGCUGAAGUAGGUCCCAAGGGUAUGGCUGUUCGCCAUUUAAAGUGGUACGCGAGCUGGGUUUAGAACGUCGUGAGACAGUUCGGUCCCUAUCUGCCGUGGGCGCUGGAGAACUGAGGGGGGCUGCUCCUAGUACGAGAGGACCGGAGUGGACGCAUCACUGGUGUUCGGGUUGUCAUGCCAAUGGCACUGCCCGGUAGCUAAAUGCGGAAGAGAUAAGUGCUGAAAGCAUCUAAGCACGAAACUUGCCCCGAGAUGAGUUCUCCCUGACUCCUUGAGAGUCCUGAAGGAACGUUGAAGACGACGACGUUGAUAGGCCGGGUGUGUAAGCGCAGCGAUGCGUUGAGCUAACCGGUACUAAUGAACCGUGAGGCUUAACCUUACAACGCCG